rnacentral:pre_miRNA from 1 species
UCAAUACUCCCUCUGAUCCAUAUUACUUGUCGCUCAAACGGAUGUAUCUAGCACUGAAAUACGUCUAGAUACAUCCAUUUGAGCGACAAGUAAUAUGGAUCGGAGGGAGUAGCAA